rnacentral:rRNA from 1 species
UAGGGAAUCUUCCGCAAUGGACGCAAGUCUGACGGAGCAACGCCGCGUGAGUGAAGAAGGAUUUCGGUUCGUAAAACUCUGUUGUUAGAGAAGAACAGCGCAUAGAGUAACUGUUAUGCGUGUGACGGUAUCUAACCAGAAAGCCACGGCUAACUACGUGCCAGCAGCCGCGGUAAUACGUAGGUGGCAAGCGUUGUCCGGAUUUAUUGGGCGUAAAGCGAGCGCAGGCGGUCAAUUAAGUCUGAUGUGAAAGCCCCCGGCUCAACCGGGGAGGGUCAUUGGAAACUGGUUGACUUGAGUGCAGAAGAGUGGAGUGGAAUUCCAUGUGUAGCGGUGAAAUGCGUAGAUAUAUGGAGGAACACCAGUGGCGAAGGCGACUCUCUGGUCUGUAACUGACGCUGAGGUUCGAAAGCGUGGGUAGCAAACAGG